ensembl:rRNA 5S_rRNA 5S ribosomal RNA
GUCUAUGGCCUUACCACCCAGAAGUUUCCUGAUAUGGUCUGAACUCAGAAACUAAUUAAGAAUAGGCCUGGUUAGUAUCAGGAUGAGAGAAGUAUGAGAAUUUGGGUGGGGGAGAGA